UACGUAGGGUGCGAGCGUUGUCCGGAAUUAUUGGGCGUAAAGAGCUCGUAGGCGGCUUGUCGCGUCGGUUGUGAAAGCCCGGGGCUUAACCCCGGGUCUGCAGUCGAUACGGGCAGGCUAGAGUUCGGUAGGGGAGAUCGGAAUUCCUGGUGUAGCGGUGAAAUGCGCAGAUAUCAGGAGGAACACCGGUGGCGAAGGCGGAUCUCUGGGCCGAUACUGACGCUGAGGCGCGAAAGCGUGGGGAGCAAACAGG
rnacentral:rRNA from 1 species